UGGAAACGGGGUCUAAUACCGGAUACUGACCCGCUUGGGCAUCCAAGCGGUUCGAAAGCUCCGGCGGUGCAGGAUGAGCCCGCGGCCUAUCAGCUUGUUGGUGAGGUAAUGGCUCACCAAGGCGACGACGGGUAGCCGGCCUGAGAGGGCGACCGGCCACACUGGGACUGAGACACGGCCCAGACUCCUACGGGAGGCAGCAGUGGGGAAUAUUGCACAAUGGGCGAAAGCCUGAUGCAGCGACGCCGCGUGAGGGAUGACGGCCUUCGGGUUGUAAACCUCUUUCAGCAGGGAAGAAGCGAAAGUGACGGUACCUGCAGAAGAAGCGCCGGCUAACUACGUGCCAGCAGCCGCGGUAAUACGUAGGGCGCGAGCGUUGUCCGGAAUUAUUGGGCGUAAAGAGCUCGUAGGCGGCUUGUCGCGUCGGUUGUGAAAGCCCGGGGCUUAACCCCGGGUCUGCAGUCGAUACGGGCAGGCUAGAGUUCGGUAGGGGAGAUCGGAAUUCCUGGUGUAGCGGUGAAAUGCGCAGAUAUCAGGAGGAACACCGGUGGCGAAGGCGGAUCUCUGGGCCGAUACUGACGCUGAGGAGCGAAAGCGUGGGGAGCGAACAGGAUUAGAUACCCUGGUAGUCCACGCCGUAAACGGUGGGCACUAGGUGUGGGCGACAUUCCACGUCGUCCGUGCCGCAGCUAACGCAUUAAGUGCCCCGCCUGGGGAGUACGGCCGCAAGGCUAAAACUCAAAGGAAUUGACGGGGGCCC
rnacentral:rRNA from 1 species